UGAGGAAUAUUGGUCAAUGGGGGCAACCCUGAACCAGCCAUGCCGCGUGGGCGAAGAAGACCCUACGGGUCGUAAAGCCCUUUUGCGCGGGAAGAAAAACGGGCAUUAUUGCCCGCCUGACGGUACCGCGAGAAUAAGCAUCGGCUAACUCCGUGCCAGCAGCCGCGGUAAUACGGAGGAUGCAAGCGUUAUCCGGAUUUAUUAGGUUUAAAGGGUGCGUAGGCGGGAUCGUAAGUCAGUGGUGAAAUCUGGCGGCUUAACCGCCCGACUGCCAUAGAUACUGCGGUUCUUGAGUACGGUUGAGGCAGGCGGAAUGUGUAGUGUAGCGGUGAAAUGCUUAGAUAUUACACAGAACACCGAUUGCGAAGGCAGCUUGCCAAGCCGCGACUGACGCUGAUGCACGAAAGCGCGGGGAGCGAACA
rnacentral:rRNA from 1 species